UGGGGAAUUUUGGACAAUGGGCGAAAGCCUGAUCCAGCCAUGCCGCGUGAGUGAAGAAGGCCUUCGGGUUGUAAAGCUCUUUUAGUCGGAAAGAAAGAGUUGCAAUGAAUAAUUGUGAUUUAUGACGGUACCGACAGAAAAAGCACCGGCUAACUACGUGCCAGCAGCCGCGGUAAUACGUAGGGUGCGAGCGUUAAUCGGAAUUACUGGGCGUAAAGGGUGCGCAGGCGGUCUUGCAAGUCAGAUGUGAAAGCCCGGGGCUUAACCUGGGAAUUGCGUUUGAAACUACAAGGCUAGAGUGCAGCAGAGGGGAGUGGAAUUCCAUGUGUAGCAGUGAAAUGCGUAGAGAUGUGGAAGAACACCGAUGGCGAAGGCAGCUCCCUGGGUUGACACUGACGCUCAUGCACGAAAGCGUGGGGAGCAAACA
rnacentral:rRNA from 1 species